UCAACAUAUCUUCUUCAAUUGAAAUGAAUAGAACAUCUUGUACAACAUAUUCCCAUAAGUUAGUUUUAUCAAACAUAAUGUCAAUGAUAAAAUAGAGAAUUAAACAACUUGUUGAUAUGAUGAUGUAUAAUCUUUAUCAAUUACAUUUCAUCAAAAAUAUUAGAAAACUAAUAUGGUGGAUGAGACAUAAAAAACAAGAAAUAUCUUGGAUAUAUUCAAGAAAGUCUAAGUGAAUAUUUCUUGUCUUGAAGAAUAUUCCACUUUCAUCACCUUAAGCCUAUCUUCUUGUGCUACCUUACUUACAUCUAAGCCUUUAAAUUAAAGUUUUCUACAAUAUUUUACUUUUCCUCAUUUCUCAUAAUAAACAUUAAAUUAUUUUAUUACUAUAUUGUCUAUCACUCUAUCUUAAUAUAAUAACCAACAACACGAAAUUAGUAUAAAAGCAUUUAUAAUUUGCUAGUAUUUAAAAAAUAACUUUCUUAAAGAAAAAACAAUUCAGCUAGUAUACAUAUUUUUACUAUUAUUAUUAUAUUUUCAAUUUCUCCCCUAUCUAUCAUUAAAGCCUAAAAGAAAUUAUUAAACAAAUAUUGAAAAUAAUGAAAGUUUGCCCUCAUCGAUUAAGAGAGCUAAAGAGCCAAACAUAAUUAAUAGAUUACAACAUAAUAAACAAGACAAAUAACUUGUACAACAUAAAGUGAUCAUUAAAUUUUACAAGCUUAAGCGUGAAAAUAUGGCUGAAACUGUUAAAUUUGUAUUUUUUAUAAUCUUCUUUAUUUUCUUAUUUCUUGUUGUAAUUGACGCUAAAGCAUGGAAAUUGAGCCCUCCAGAUUGCAAGAAAGAUUGGGAUUGCCCGCCUAAAUUUUGUCUGUCUCCUUUGGUUGCAAAAUGUAAUUCUCGUAGGUGUUACUGUGGUUAAUAAAAUGUAUCAUGCAUAAAUAUUUGUUUCUAUUUCAAGAACACAUUUUCAGUAAUAA